rnacentral:rRNA from 1 species
AUUGAACGCUGGCGGAAUGCUUUACACAUGCAAGUCGAACGGCAGCACGGACUUCGGUCUGGUGGCGCGUGGCGAACGGGUGAGUAAUGUAUCGGAACGUGCCCAGUCGUGGGGGAUAACGUAGUGAAAAUUACGCUAAUACCGCAUACGAUCUAUGGAUGAAAGCGGGGGAUCGCAAGACCUCGCGCGAUUGGAGCGGCCGAUAUCAGAUUAGGUAGUUGGUGGGGUAAAGGCCCACCAAGCCAACGAUCUGUAGCGGGUCUGAGAGGACGACCAGCCACACUGGGACUGAGACACGGCCCAGACUCCUACGGGAGGCAGCAGUGGGGAAUUUUGGACAAUGGACGCAAGUCUGAUCCAGCCAUUCCGCGUGCAGGAUGAAGGCCCUCGGGUUGUAAACUGCUUUUGUACAGAACGAAAAGGCUCUGGUUAAUACCUAGGGCUCAUGACGGUACUGUAAGAAUAAGCACCGGCUAACUACGUGCCAGCAGCCGCCGUAA